rnacentral:rRNA from 1 species
CAUGCUGUGAGCUCGAUGAGUAGGGCGGGACACGUGGUAUCCUGUCUGAAUAUGGGGGGACCAUCCUCCAAGGCUAAAUACUCCUGACUGACCGAUAGUGAACCAGUACCGUGAGGGAAAGGCGAAAAGAACCCCGGCGAGGGGAGUGAAAAAGAACCUGAAACCGUGUACGUACAAGCAGUGGGAGCACGCUUAGGCGUGUGACUGCGUACCUUUUGUAUAAUGGGUCAGCGACUUAUAUUCUGUAGCAAGGUUAACCGAAUAGGGGAGCCGAAGGGAAACCGAGUCUUAACUGGGCGUUAAGUUGCAGGGUAUAGACCCGAAACCCGGUGAUCUAGCCAUGGGCAGGUUGAAGGUUGGGUAACACUAACUGGAGGACCGAACCGACUAAUGUUGAAAAAUUAGCGGAUGACUUGUGGCUGGGGGUGAAAGGCCAAUCAAACCGGGAGAUAGCUGGUUCUCCCCGAAAGCUAUUUAGGUAGCGCCUCGUGAAUUCAUCUCCGGGGGUAGAGCACUGUUUCGGCAAGGGGGUCAUCCCGACUUACCAACCCGAUGCAAACUGCGAAUACCGGAGAAUGUUAUCACGGGAGACACACGGCGGGUGCUAACGUCCGUCGUGAAGAGGGAAACAACCCAGACCGCCAGCUAAGGUCCCAAAGUCAUGGUUAAGUGGGAAACGAUGUGGGAAGGCCCAGACAGCCAGGAUGUUGGCUUAGAAGCAGCCAUCAUUUAAAGAAAGCGUAAUAGCUCACUGGUCGAGUCGGCCUGCGCGGAAGAUGUAACGGGGCUAAACCAUGCACCGAAGCUGCGGCAGCGACGCUUAUGCGUUGUUGGGUAGGGGAGCGUUCUGUAAGCCUGUGAAGGUGUGCUGUGAGGCAUGCUGGAGGUAUCAGAAGUGCGAAUGCUGACAUAAGUAACGAUAAAGCGGGUGAAAAGCCCGCUCGCCGGAAGACCAAGGGUUCCUGUCCAACGUUAAUCGGGGCAGGGUGAGUCGACCCCUAAGGCGAGGCCGAAAGGCGUAGUCGAUGGGAAACAGGUUAAUAUUCCUGUACUUGGUGUUACUGCGAAGGGGGGACGGAGAAGGCUAUGUUGGCCGGGCGACGGUUGUCCCGGUUUAAGCGUGUAGGCUGGUUUUCCAGGCAAAUCCGGAAAAUCAAGGCUGAGGCGUGAUGACGAGGCACUACGGUGCUGAAGCAACAAAUGCCCUGCUUCCAGGAAAAGCCUCUAAGCAUCAGGUAACAUCAAAUCGUACCCCAAACCGACACAGGUGGUCAGGUAGAGAAUACCAAGGCGCUUGAGAGAACUCGGGUGAAGGAACUAGGCAAAAUGGUGCCGUAACUUCGGGAGAAGGCACGCUGAUAUGUAGGUGAAGUCCCUCGCGGAUGGAGCUGAAAUCAGUCGAAGAUACCAGCUGGCUGCAACUGUUUAUUAAAAACACAGCACUGUGCAAACACGAAAGUGGACGUAUACGGUGUGACGCCUGCCCGGUGCCGGAAGGUUAAUUGAUGGGGUCAGCGCAAGCGAAGCUCUUGAUCGAAGCCCCGGUAAACGGCGGCCGUAACUAUAACGGUCCUAAGGUAGCGAAAUUCCUUGUCGGGUAAGUUCCGACCUGCACGAAUGGCGUAAUGAUGGCCAGGCUGUCUCCACCCGAGACUCAGUGAAAUUGAACUCGCUGUGAAGAUGCAGUGUACCCGCGGCAAGACGGAAAGACCCCGUGAACCUUUACUAUAGCUUGACACUGAACAUUGAGCCUUGAUGUGUAGGAUAGGUGGGAGGCUUAGAAGUGUGGACGCCAGUCUGCAUGGAGCCGACCUUGAAAUACCACCCUUUAAUGUUUGAUGUUCUAACGUUGACCCGUAAUCCGGGUUGCGGACAGUGUCUGGUGGGUAGUUUGACUGGGGCGGUCUCCUCCUAAAGAGUAACGGAGGAGCACGAAGGUUGGCUAAUCCUGGUCGGACAUCAGGAGGUUAGUGCAAUGGCAUAAGCCAGCUUGACUGCGAGCGUGACGGCGCGAGCAGGUGCGAAAGCAGGUCAUAGUGAUCCGGUGGUUCUGAAUGGAAGGGCCAUCGCUCAACGGAUAAAAGGUACUCCGGGGAUAACAGGCUGAUACCGCCCAAGAGUUCAUAUCGACGGCGGUGUUUGGCACCUCGAUGUCGGCUCAUCACAUCCUGGGGCUGAAGUAGGUCCCAAGGGUAUGGCUGUUCGCCAUUUAAAGUGGUACGCGAGCUGGGUUUAGAACGUCGUGAGACAGUUCGGUCCCUAUCUGCCGUGGGCGCUGGAGAACUGAGGGGGGCUGCUCCUAGUACGAGAGGACCGGAGUGGACGCAUCACUGGUGUUCGGGUUGUCAUGCCAAUGGCACUGCCCGGUAGCUAAAUGCGGAAGAGAUAAGUGCUGAAAGCAUCUAAGCACGAAACUUGCC